rnacentral:rRNA from 1 species
GACGAACGCUGGCGGCGCGCUUAACACAUGCAAGUCGAGCGAAGCGGCGGACGGGUGAGUAACACGUGAGUAACCUGCCUCUCACCACGGGAUAGCCCAGGGAAACCGGGAUUAAUACCGAAUGGUGCGAGAUGGCCUCGCGUCUGAUUAGUUAGUUGGUGGGGUAACGGCUGACAAAGACGGCGACCAGUAAACGGCCUGAGAGGGUGAACGGGCACAUGUGAACUGAGACACGGUCCAAACGCCUACGGGUGGCAGCAGUGGUGAAUCGUGCACAAUGGGGGGAACCCUGAUGCAGCGCCGCUGCGUGAGCGAUGAAGGUUUUCGAAUCGUAAAGCUCUGUUCUAUGGGAAGCGGUACCAUAGGAGAAAGCCCCGGCUAACUACGUGCCAGCAGCCGCGGUAAUAC